rnacentral:rRNA from 1 species
AUUGAACGCUGGCGGCAUGCUUUACACAUGCAAGUCGAACGGCAGCGUGGGCUUCGGCCUGGCGGCGAGUGGCGAACGGGUGAGUAAUACAUCGGAACGUGCCCAGUAGUGGGGGAUAGCUCGGCGAAAGCCGGAUUAAUACCGCAUACGACCUGAGGGUGAAAGCGGGGGAUCUUCGGACCUCGCGCUAUCGGAGCGGCCGAUGGCAGAUUAGCUAGUUGGUGGGGUAAAGGCCUACCAAGGCGACGAUCUGUAGCUGGUCUGAGAGGACGACCAGCCACACUGGGACUGAGACACGGCCCAGACUCCUACGGGAGGCAGCAGUGGGGAAUUUUGGACAAUGGGCGAAAGCCUGAUCCAGCAAUGCCGCGUGUGUGAUGAAGGCCUUCGGGUUGUAAAGCACUUUUGGCGGGAACGAAAAGGACUGUGCCAAUACCACGGUUCGAUGACGGUACCCGCAGAAUAAGCACCGGCUAACUACGUG